rnacentral:snRNA from 1 species
GUGCUAGGAUCAGCAGCACAUAUACAAAAUUAGAACCAUACAGAGAAGGUUAUUAGGGUUCCUGUACAAUAUGACAUGAAAAUUAAUGGAGCAGCAAUAUUUU